rnacentral:rRNA from 1 species
AUACGGAGGGUGCGAGCGUUAUCCGGAUUUAUUGGGUUUAAAGGGAGCGUAGGUGGGAUAUUAAGUCAGCUGUGAAAGUUUGGGGCUCAACCUUAAAAUUGCAGUUGAUACUGGUUUCCUUGAGUACGGUACAGGUGGGCGGAAUUCGUGGUGUAGCGGUGAAAUGCUUAGAUAUCACGAAGAACUCCGAUCGCGAAGGCAGCUCACCGGGCCGGAACUGACACUGAUGCUCGAAAGUGCGGGUAUCAAACAGGAUUAGAUACCCUGGUAGUCCGCACAGUAAACGAUGAAUACUCGCUGUUUGCGAUACACGGUAAGCGGCCAAGCGAAAGCGUUAAGUAUUCCACCUGGGGAGUACGCCGGCAACGGUGAAACUCAAAUGAAUUGACGGGG